UAAUUCUCGCCUGACAUGCAGGCUGACACUAAAUGACAUGUCUAUUAAUUAUAAAAUCAUUUGUAGAUAGUACCAUAUGCAUUAAGCACUGCUGGUGUCAUUUGGAAUAUAUAGAGUCUUUGAAAAUUUGUCAUUUGCUGCUUUUCAACAGGAGAAGGGGUGGUUAUAGUAGACUGUCAACCCGAGAUCGUGAAGAUGAGUUUGAUAUUGUGGCAUUAUCAUCAACUCCAUCACAGACGACACAAGACCUACGACAACAACUCUUGAAAGACGGCUUCCGGUUAGAUGAGGUCCCCGAUGACGAAGAGCUUGACUUGAUCCCACCUCGACCGAUGGUUGACCGAUGCGCAUGCUGCCAAGCGCAAGCUAACUGCACAAUACAAUGACACGCAUCAAGUCCAUAUUGGACCCUACCCCCACGACACGCCCCCUUCUUAUUUAUAAAUAAAUAUGGAAAUAGAUGUGAAUAUGUAUAUUUCUUCAACUGCGGAAAAUAAUCACUUCACUGGAUCAUGUUGAAUCCAAGCAAUGAAGAAAAACGGACUUGGCAAAGAGAAAUGGUUGAUCCGAGGAUUAUGGUUGUGCAAGAGAUAUUAUUGGUAUAUAUCAUGGAUUAUUAAGAAUGUGUAUAUCAAUAUUGUUUUCACAUAGAGGUGUGUUGAAAGUCUAUUUUAUGAUGGUGCACAUGUGUAUAUUGAAAUGCAGCAAUCAUUUUUAUUUUAAUGUGUUAUGCCAAUUGUGUGUAUUGCAUUUCUGACUAUAUGUAAUAUUUAUGCCAAAUAUGUGUUUCUUUCUCUUUCAAUUUAUUUUCACUGUCCUUAUCAGUUUGUCAAGAUAAGGAAACAUUGCUUUCCUAUGUGUAUUCAUGUUUUGUUUUUAUAAGUUUUCUACUUUUUACCUUAAAAAUUGUCUUAUUCCUUUAUAUCUAUAAGCUACAAUUACAAUUAUUUAUGCUAAAUUAUUUAUGUUUUUUAAAUUUCACCCAUUUAUAAAUCUGGAAGAAUUUCUUUCCAUGCUAGAAAUGUACUCUAUCAUUUAUUCCUGCUUUUACUUUGUAAUACUUAAUUCACAUCAUUCAUAAUAGAAUAUGAAAAUGUAGCAGUUUUCCUAUACAUCUGAAAUGCUAUCAGGAAAAAGAAAGUUCUAGCUUGGAACCCAGAAUAAGAGAGAUUGUCGUUGCUUAUACAAGUAACACUGUUUGAUAAGAUUCAAAGAAAACCGGAUGCAUAGUUCUUUUGAUGUACUAGUUUUGUUUAGUAUUUUGAAUAUAUACUCUCAUAUGGAGUGUCAUCUCCAAUACAGUGUAGAGCUAAACACGUACCUCUUGUUCUAUCCAAAGAGCUCACCGACAGCUUUUUACCUCGAAACCCUAUCCUUGAAUUAUAAACAUUUUGUCUUGCUUCCACUACAGCUUAUAUUGCUUCUAAACACCGGACAUGGGACACUUAAGCAUUUGGCCGAUCAGAUUUCAGCCGAACGUUUUAACGUUGAAGAGUGGUGGAGACAUAAUUUGAUUUCUACCUCUCCUCUGACGCAUCCGGGGAGCUACAAUCGGUUGGUUUGAUGACCGCUGUUGCAGAAAUGCAAUGAUUAUCUUGUUUAUAUGGAACUGGAAAUCACAAGAUAGUGAGCAAGUUCAUGCUGACAAAAAUGCCACAUGGCCUGAUGUUGCUAUAUAUAGCAGCUUUGUGCAAGAUGGACAAUGGCAUCAGAAACUGCCAUUCCCUACAGAUGCUAUACUACAAUAUUUAAAUUAUUAGGCUAUUAUCAGAGAGAAAAAACAUGCUUUUAUGUUAGUAUUGAUCAUGUCCGCGAGAUAUGAUGGCCUUCUCACAUCGUGUGUGUGAAUGACCGCUGCAGAUAUCGCUGUUACUCCUUGCAAAGCCUGGUGACACAAAACUCCAUAACUGAUCACAUAGCUGACUUUAUGAUCGAUUCCUGCAAUCAUCAUUUGCAUUCAAUCAUGCGAGUGACUCGUGUGAUCAAUUACUAUGUUUUGUGUUCAUUGGUUCAUGGACUAUUGAGACUUUGGGUGUAAUGAGUUACAAGCAAGCUUAACCACAACCCUCCACUGCUGAGAUCCAGUGUUGACCACCUGGGAAACAGAUAUGAUCAUUCAUCUCGCAGUCACAAUCUCAAACAUUUUAUCAUUCUCUCCAUGUAUUUGUGUGAAUAAUUAGAUUCCCUCUGCCAGUAUCAUGUUUCAUGUUCAUUACUCCCUGUUGGCUUUCCAUACUUGCAAUAUGCCGUGUAUGUGAUAGAGAAUGGGCGUGAAUGAAAAAAAAUCUUAAAUCAGCAUGUCUAUCAAAAUAAUCACACAUGGCUUUCCAUAUCUGUGGUAAUGUGAGUUUUUCAUCUCUCUCUCUUUCUCUCUCUCUCUCCCCCUCUCUAUUUGACUUGCAUUAUCUUUAUUCAUCUCAUUAGAGGGUUUGUAUGAAUGAAAUUGCUGCAAUGUAAUAUAUUGUGUUAGCAUUUGCUUGAACAUUCUUUUUGUUUAUAGCCAUUACAUUGUAAUUUAGUUAACUUUAGGAUUAGGUUAGUACCUUGUCUAAGGUUUUAAGCAAAAUGAUUGAUUGUAAAAGAAAUAAUUACUGCCAAUUAAUUGUGACUGGAGCAUAGGUAUCAGUCAGAUAACACCGCUGACCAAUUGGUCAUCCUAAUAUUCACCAAGAAAUACUACCUUCAUACAGUUCAAUACAAUCUUAUCAGCAAUCUUUUGUGCAAUAGAUACAGUACUGCUGACCGGUUUCAAUUUUGAAUGUUUGCCAAAUCAGUCGAUGUAUGCAAGGUGUCUGACAUUUGGAAUUGGAAAGAAAACGGUGUUGCAAAGUGCAGGGCUGUGUUCACGUUAAAGAGAAAUACCAGUAGUUGCAGUAAACACUGAUUUCACGAGAAAGCCUGUAAAACCAGGCUUAAUUGUCAAUAUAUCAUCGAGGAUCUAGAUCUGGUACAAUGACAUAAACUGAACUUUGUGAAAUCUUGAAAUCUACGCUCAAAAAUGAUCACAAUGAAGAUCACCAGCACAGAUAGACACACGUGGGACAGUGUAUUAUUAUUGCUGGAAUAAAGACCCGACGGAAGUGACCGAAUCCGCGCUUAUUUUGCUUAUUUCUCAGCAAUUACACAAUUUCUUCCAGAAUCCUUUGGCACAUAUUUUUUAUUCGUACAAACAGACACUUGGGUGGUCGUUAUAUUAGAUUCUAUAAAAAGUCAUUUUGAGAUCGUUACCAAAACUGGAAUUUAUCUUUAAACUCCUAAGAUAUCUGUCUCUGUGGCAUUAGCACUUGCUCUAGGUGUCUUACUAGCUACUUUAAUACCUUCUUAGCAUGUAUCUUAAUCAGUCCUUUUUCUUUUUUAGUCCUCCCAUUUCACCGUUUCAAAGAUGAAACCAAAAAUUGCUCUGACUUUAGGAAGGUUCCCUUCAGAACAUUCAUCUUGUGUCUCGACAUCGCUCUGGAAUUGUAUUCAAGAGUAAGAUUGACACCACUCUUUAUGGAAAAGAUUUGUAAAUGUAUUCUGACUAAAAUGCUUUCAAUAACUCAACCAAAAAUGGUUUAAAUCUUCAUUAUACCAUAUCACAUCCAUACCAAUAUAGUAAGAAUUAUGAAUUGCUCUUUCAUAGAUGAUGAAAAGUGGAAUGCAAAACACCUAUGUAUGUAUUGUAUCUAUGAUAUUUUCAAUGGUUACAUCAGCUAUGAAUUAUUCCAUACUUCCAGAGGUGCACCAACUUGGAAUUACCAUACAUUAGAUCGAAGCAUUCAAUCAAAUCUGUUUCCUCAUUUCUGUGUUCACCCAUUAACUACGAGAAUUAGGUCACCUAUGCUAAGUAGAGAACAUAGAAAUCAAAAGAGGAGUAUGUUUCUAUACUAAUCUGAUGAACAUGCUGUGAAUGCAUGGAGAACAUGACUGCAGGUGUCUUCGUCGAAUCCUUCAAAUCGACGGUGACGCACCCAUGUAAGCUUUCUACUCAACGACAAAGGUGAAACAAGAACCUGAUAGAAAGAAGCCAUUACUUAAAGACGUCCCACUAUGCCGUACCUGUACGCCUUGAGGGCAAUCAAUGCUAAAAGUGAAACUAAAAGUCACAGACCGAAAUCGAGGUUUCAAAUGUAACGUCCCCGACUAUCACAAAUAUAUCCCUGUGCUAGAUUUCUCCUCUUUCCAUUCCACGAACUGUCAUGAGAAAAGAAAUCUUGACGGCAUCGAAAGCUAAACAGAAAAGAUUCGUGAAUUGCAGCUAUAAAAGAUUUCUCUUUUCCCUGAAGUGAACGGUAGUGACUUCAAUAUAUGUAUUGCAUUCCCUUAUUUAUGUAUGUUGUCAUUUAUAUGUUAAGCCUACCUAUUUAUUGAAAUGAUGUGAUUUACUAAUGCUACACAUCCUAGUUGAAGUAAACCUUUUAAAGGAUUGUAGUUAUGAGAGGAGACUCGAGAUUGACAUUUUGAAAUUCUUUUUACUACACUCAAUCACACAUAUGUUAAGAAUUUUCUAUCAGGUUCAUAUUGUGCAUGCAAACCAUGAGCUAAAAUAGUUAGCUGUCAUUUAGUACCAUGACAUGUAGGUACAGAUAAAUUGAAUGCUGUCUUCUUGCAAAUACUUGGGAAAUAAUAGCAUCUCUUUCUCUUCUUAUUGUCUCUCUCUUUCACUCCUCCUCUCUUGCUUUGUCUUGCUGUCUCUUCUCUCUCUCUCUCUCCCUCUCUCUCCCCCCUGGGUACACAUUCUGAGACAUGAUAGAUAGGGAAAGAUGAUGGUUAAAGGCAUCUACAAAUUAUACAUUACACCCGGGCUCGAGCUGAGAAAUAGUGGCCUAGUUUUUUUUCGGUCUCAACAUUUAUGGAAUAUUUAUCAUAGACAGGUGGCAUUUGUUUUCUCCGUGGACUUGUAUGUGAAUGUCUCUCAAUCCACGAGGGAUAAAACAAGAGCGAUGGUACAGGAGAAUCGGGUGGUCCAUGCCUGCAGAAAUAUCUUGACGCUUAACCUAGGUAGGAUCAUGCAAGAAUGAUCGUUUAACCCCUGUGCCUCCAGGAUCAAAACACAUUUAUUUUAACUUCAUAUAGGUCAGAAAAAAGACAAACUUUUUGUAAAUCUUGUGGAACAAUCUUCCUUUUCUGCUUUUACUGAUGAUGGAAUAAUAGCACUUGUGUAAGUUUGGUUUUGCAGGAGUACUUUGUUAAAAAGUUCAGUGAAAAUGGUAUACACUUGUGUAUCUGGUUUGCUGAACACAUAUUGUGAGACAAGGUAAAUUGUUCUCAUCAUUGAUUCAUGCGUUACUGUGUGUAUGCUGCUAGCCUCUAUUUUCUAUUGAGUAGCUUCCUUUCUGCUACUAAGAAUGUACCAAGUAUCUUGAAAAAAUUAAUAUCAUUAUUAGCAUUGA